rnacentral:rRNA from 1 species
GAUGAGCCCGCGUUGGAUUAGCUAGUUGGUGGGGUACAGGCCUACCAAGGCGACGAUCCAUAGCUGGUCUGAGAGGAUGAUCAGCCACAUUGGGACUGAGACACGGCCCAAACUCCUACGGGAGGCAGCAGUGGGGAAUAUUGGACAAUGGGCGCAAGCCUGAUCCAGCCAUGCCGCGUGAGUGAUGAAGGUCUUAGGAUUGUAAAGCUCUUUCACCGGGGACGAUAAUGACGGUACCCGGAGAAGAAGCCCCGGCUAACUUCGUGCCAGCAGCCGCGGUAAUACGAAGGGGGCUAGCGUUGUUCGGAAUUACUGGGCGUAAAGCGCACGUAGGCGGAUAUUUAAGUCAGGGGUGAAAUCCCGGGGCUCAACCCCGGAACUGCCUUUGAUACUGGGUAUCUUGAGUGUGGUAGAGGUGAGUGGAAUUGCGAGUGUAGAGGUGAAAUUCGUAGAUAUUCGCAGGAACACCAGUGGCGAAGGCGGCUCACUGGACCACAACUGACGCUGAGGUGCGAAAGCGUGGGGAGCAAACAGGACUAGAUACCCUGGUAGUC